rnacentral:rRNA from 1 species
UUGUUGGUAAGGUAAAAGCUUACCAAGGCUUCGAUCAGUAGCUGGUCUGAGAGGACGACCAGCCACACUGGGACUGAGACACGGCCCAGACUCCUACGGGAGGCAGCAGUGGGGAAUUUUGGACAAUGGGGGCAACCCUGAUCCAGCCAUGCCGCGUGAGUGAAGAAGGCCUUCGGGUUGUAAAGCUCUUUCAGCCGGAACGAAACGGUUACGGUUAACACCCGUGACUACUGACGGUACCGGAAGAAGAAGCACCGGCUAACUACGUGCCAGCAGCCGCGGUAAUACGUAGGGUGCGAGCGUUAAUCGGAAUUACUGGGCGUAAAGCGUGCGCAGGUGGUUUUGUAAGUCAGAUGUGAAAGCCCCGGGCUCAACCAGGGAACUGCGUUUGAAACUACAAGACUAGAGUGUGGCAGAGGGGGGUGGAAUUCCGCGUGUAGCAGUGAAAUGCGUAGAGAUGUGGAGGAACACCGAUGGCGAAGGCAGCCCCCUGGGUCAACACUGACGCUCAGGCACGAAAGCAUGGGGAGCAAACAGGAUUAGAUACCCUGGUAGUCCAUGCCCUAAACGAUGUCAACUAGUUGUCGGGCCUUUACGGGCUUGGUAACGUAGCUAACGCGUGAAGUUGACCGCCUGGGGAGUACGAUCGCAAGAUUAAAACUCAAAUGAAUUGACGGGGACCCGCACAAGCGGUGGAUUAUGUGGAUUAAUUCGAUGCAACGCGAAAAACCUUACCUACCCUUGACAUGUAUCGAAGCCCGCAGAAAAGCGGGGGUGCCCGAAAGGGAACGAUAACACAGGUGCUGCAUGGCUGUCGUCAGCUCGUGUCGUGAGAUGUUGGGUUAAGUCCCGCAACGAGCGCAACCCUUGUCAUUAAUUGCCAUCAUUUAGUUGGGCACUUUAAUGAGACUGCCGG